AUGGGGACUCUGGCGGGACCGCCGGCGUCAAGCCGGAGGAAGGCGGGGACGACGUCAAGUCAUCAUGGCCCUUACGCCCAGGGCUACACACGUGCUACAAUGGAGAGUACAGAGGGUCGCUACACAGCAAUGUGAUGCCAAUCUCAAAAAGCUCUUCUCAGUUCGGAUUGGGGUCUGCAACUCGACCCCAUGAAGGU
rnacentral:rRNA from 1 species